rnacentral:lncRNA from 1 species
GAAAAUAAAGCAAAGGAAUAAACAGAGAAGAGACAAACUAAAUUUAUCAUUGUAUUUCUGUUGCAGGACAUGCGGUAGAUUGGCGCAAAGGACAGCUCUCAGUCGGUGUUGCUUGGAUCGAGUGAGGAGACACCGAAUGUUGCCGCAAUAAGGGUGCAAGGAUGAAGCCGAGCCUUUGACUUUUGGAUCUGUCUGUGAGCGGACGGAGCCACGUGAUUGGCGAGUCUCAAUGCACCUUAUGAUGUGGGCCCCGGUGCCAUCCGCGGAGCCGUGAUCCGUCGACGCGGUUUUGUGACGCAAUGGACACGCGGGUGCUUCGCGGCCAAACGACUCCGGAUUCGGAAUGAGCGCCUGUGCCGUUGGUGUUCCCGCGUGAAGUGCUCUUCUCCGGAGAGGCGAUUUUCCGCGGUGUCGCGAUGUCCAAGUGGCCAAGGACACUCCUCUCCGCUCGACCAAGUGCCCCGUCCAACUGAGACCCACAAAAUGCCUCUGCUUUUCGUCUUCACCGUGUCAUUCUUCUCAUUUUACGCUAAAGGUAAAUGCAAAUUUGGAACAGUUAUCAGUGUGUUUGAUUGUAGUCUGUGCGUAAUACGUUUAAUUUUCAGUAAGUAAUUUCUAUGCGUUUUUUACUUCAAUUAUUUACUAAUCUUGUUUACAUUGUACCAUAUACAUAUUUUAAACUCAACAUGAGCCAAAGGAUGUAAGAGAGAUGUAAAAAAAUCCCACGUAGUUCACCAUGGCUCCAGAAGUUCCUACUUUUCCUUUUUUCAACCGGAAAGGGAGAAAAAUCAGAAACAGGACACAAGUGCAAGUCGUUGUUAACAUAGUAAAACGUCGAUAUAGACAACAUAAACAGAGAUCAGAUAAAAACAAAACACGUACAGGCGAAGAUUGCUUAGCCUGCCAUAUUGAAG